CGCGUGGCGGCGUGCUUAACACAUGCAAGUCGAACGCGAAAGGGACUUCGGUCCUGAGUAAAGUGGCGCACGGGUGAGUAACGCGUAGAUAACCUGUCUUCAUGUCUGGAAUAAUACGCCGAAAGGGGUACUAAUACCGGAUAUUCUUGCUUUUCAUAAGUUAUGCAAGCAAAGGUGGCCUCUGCAUAUGCUACUGCAUGAAGAGGGGUCUGCGUACCAUUAGCUAGUAGGUGGGGUAAUGGCCUACCUAGGCGACGAUGGUUAGCGGGUCUGAGAGGAUGAUCCGCCACACUGGCACUGGAACACGGGCCAGACUCCUACGGGAGGCAGCAGUGAGGAAUAUUGCGCAAUGGGGGAAACCCUGACGCAGCGACGCCGCGUGAGUGAAGGAAGGCCUUCGGGUCGUAAAGCUCUGUCAAGAGGAAAGAAGUGUACAAUGGCUAAUACCUGUUGUAUUUGACGGUACCUCUAAAGGAAGCACCGGCUAACUCCGUGCCAGCAGCCGC
rnacentral:rRNA from 1 species